rnacentral:rRNA from 1 species
CCUACGGGGGGCAGCAGUGGGGAAUAUUGCACAAUGGGGGAAACCCUGAUGCAGCGACGCCGCGUGAGUGAAGAAGUAUCUCGGUACGUAAAGCUCUAUCAGCAGGGAAGAAAAUGACGGUACCUGACUAAGAAGCCCCGGCUAACUACGUGCCAGCAGCCGCGGUAAUACGUAGGGGGCAAGCGUUAUCCGGAUUUACUGGGUGUAAAGGGAGCGUAGACGGCAGCACAAGUCUGGAGUGAAGUCCCGGGGCUUAACCCCGGAACUGCUUUGGAAACUGUGGAGCUUGAGUGCGGGAGGGGCAGGCGGAAUUCCUAGUGUAGCGGUGAAAUGCGUAGAUAUUAGGAGGAACACCGGCGGCGAAGGCGGCCUGCUGGACCGUAACUGACGUUGAGGCUCGAAAGCGUGGGGAGCAAACAGGAUUAGAUACCCUAGUAGUC